CAAGGAAUUUUCGUCAAUGGGCGCAAGCCUGAACGAGCAACGCCGCGUGGAGGAUGACGGCCUUCGGGUUGUAAACUCCUUUUCUGGGGGACGAUAAUGACGGUACCCUGGGAAUAAGGCUCGGCUAACUCUGUGCCAGCAGCCGCGGUAAUACAGAGGAGCCAAGCGUUGUCCGGAUUGACUGGGCGUAAAGCGCACGCAGGCGGUCGGGCACGUGGGGUGUGAAAUCUGGCCGCUUAACGGCCAGGCGCCAUCCCAUACGGCCGGACUGGAGGGCUGCAGAGGUCGAUGGAAUUGCCGGUGUAGUGGUGAAAUGCGUAGAGAUCGGCAGGAACACCCAGGGGGAAACCAGUCGACUGGGCAGCACCUGACGCUGAGGUGCGAGAGCGUGGGGAGCGAACCGG
rnacentral:rRNA from 1 species